rnacentral:rRNA from 1 species
UACGAAGGGGGCUAGCGUUGUUCGGAAUCACUGGGCGUAAAGGGCGCGUAGGCGGCCCGCACAAGUCUGCGGUGAAAACCCCCGGCUUAACCGGGGGCCGGCCGUGGAAACUGUCGGGCUAGAGGCCGGGAGAGGGCAGCGGAAUUCCUGGUGUAGCGGUGAAAUGCGCAGAUAUCAGGAAGAACACCCGUGGCGAAAGCGGCUCUCUGGAACGGUACUGACGCUGAGACGCGAAAGCGUGGGGAGCGAACAGG